rnacentral:rRNA from 1 species
GCAGCCACCUUUUAAAACGCGUCAAAGCGUAACCUUAACCCCCAAAAUACCACUAAUUUUCAUGAACCCCUAAUUUAUAAUGAAUGACUCCAUAUUUAUAUGGAAGACACCAUGCUAGGAUUAGUAACAAGAAUUUAUAAUUCUCCAAAAUGCAAAUAUAAACCAACAUGGAUGGACCAUUGGUAGUUACCGAACCUAAAUUCAAUGCAAUAACACCCACAAGAAAACUCUGCAAUACUCACUCGUUAACCUAACACCAGCGCAUUACAGGAAAGAUUUAAAAAAAGAGAAGGAAUUCGGCAAAUGACGGCCCCGCCUGUUUACCAAAAACAUCGCCUCUUGACUUAUAAUAAGAGGUCCAGCCUGCCCAGUGAAUUUUAAACGGCCGCGGUAUCCUAACCGCGCGAAGGUAGCAUAAUCACUUGUUCUUUAAAUGGGGACUCGUAUCAACGGCAUCACGAGGGUUUUACUGUCUCCUCUUUUUGAUCAGUGAAAUUGAUCUUCCCGUGAAGAAGCGGGAAUAAAUUUAUAAGACGAGAAGACCCCAUGGAGCUUUAAACCAAAUAACAACUUAACCACUCACCCCAUAAUAAAUUUAAGCCCUGUUAUAAGGUUUUUGGUUGGGGUGACCGCGGAGUAAAGCAUAUCCUCCACGACGAAAAGAACAGAAUCUUUAUUUAAGAACCACACUUCUAGAAAUUAGUAUACUAACGUUUACUGACCCGACAAUCGAUCAACGGACCAAGUUACCCUGGGGAUAACAGCGCAAUCUACUUCAAGAGCUCAUAUCGACAAGUAGGCUUACGACCUCGAUGUUGGAUCAGGGUAUCCCGGUGGUGCAGCCGCUACCGAAGGUUCGUUUGUUCAACGAUUAAAACCCUACGUGAUCU